UGGCCAGCAUCCCGUUUUUCUUCCGGCUGCAUUCUCCUCACAGGGCAUGCCAGUUCUGGAUGAGCAUUUGGCUGGUUUGCGUAAUACUUGGGAGCAGGUUCAGCGUUCUUUGGUGGAUUCCGCUGCUCGCCAGAAGGCUCAGGCUGACAAGCAUCGCAGAGCGGCUCCUUCUUAUGUUGUGGGGGACAGGGUUUUGCUUUCCACGCAGAAUAUUCGCCUACGGGUGCCUUCUAUGAAAUUGGCUCCCCGCUUCAUAGGUCCUUAUCGUAUUCUGCAUAAGGUUAAUCCUGUUUCAUAUGCCCUGGGUCUUCCUAGGAAUCUGCGUAUUCCUAAUGUCUUUCACACCUCGUUGUUGAAGCCUUAC